rnacentral:rRNA from 1 species
UACGAAGGGGGCUAGCGUUGUUCGGAAUCACUGGGCGUAAAGCGUAUGUAGGCGGAUUGCUAAGUCAGGGGUGAAAGCCCGAGGCUCAACCUCGGAACUGCCUUUGAUACUGGCGAUCUUGAGUCCGGGAGAGGUGAGUGGAACUGCGAGUGUAGAGGUGAAAUUCGUAGAUAUUCGCAAGAACACCAGUGGCGAAGGCGGCUCACUGGCCCGAUACUGACGCUGAGGCACGAAAGCGUGGGGAGCAAACAGG